GAUGAACGCUGGCGGCGUGCCUAACACAUGCAAGUCGAGCGAUUCUCUUCGGAGAAGAGCGGCGGACGGGUGAGUAACGCGUGGGUAACCUGCCCUGUACACACGGAUAACAUACCGAAAGGUAUGCUAAUACGGGAUAACAUAAGAAAUUCGCAUGUUUUUCUUAUCAAAGCUCCGGCGGUACAGGAUGGACCCGCGUCUGAUUAGCUAGUUGGUGAGGUAACGGCUCACCAAGGCGACGAUCAGUAGCCGACCUGAGAGGGUGAUCGGCCACAUUGGAACUGAGACACGGUCCAA
rnacentral:rRNA from 1 species